rnacentral:rRNA from 1 species
CGGAUUGUAGUCUGCAACUCGACUACAUGAAGCUGGAAUCGCUAGUAAUCGCAAAUCAGAAUGUUGCGGUGAAUACGUUCCCGGGUCUUGUACACACCGCCCGUCACACCAUGGGAGUUGGAUAUGCCCGAAGUCAGUGACCCAACCGAAAGGAGGGAGCUGCCGAAGGUGGAGCCGAUGACUGGGGUGAAGUCGUAACAAGGUACC